CUUUCUUUGCUGGCGACCGGCGCACGGGUGAGUAACACGUAUCCAACCUGCCCUUUACUCGGGGAUAGCCUUUCGAAAGAAAGAUUAAUACCCGAUGGGAUAAUUAUUCCGCAUGGUUUGAUUAUUAAAGGAUUCCGGUAAAGGAUGGGGAUGCGUUCCAUUAGGUUGUUGGUGAGGUAACGGCUCACCAAGCCUUCGAUGGAUAGGGGUUCUGAGAGGAAGGUCCCCCACAUUGGAACUGAGACACGGUCCAA
rnacentral:rRNA from 1 species